GACGAACGCUGGCGGCGUGCCUAACACAUGCAAGUCGAACGGGACCAGUCUUGGUGGCAACACUUUGGUUGGUUUAGUGGCGAACGGGUGAGUAACACGUGAGGAACCUGCCCCGGAGACCGGGAUAACAGGAGGAAACUUCUGCUAAUACUGGAUGUCCCCAUUGUGCCGCAUGGUGUGGUGGGGAAAUGGGUUUCCGCUUCGGGAGGGUCUCGCGGCCUAUCAGCUUGCUGGUGGGGUAAUGGCCUACCAAGGCGUCGACGGGUAGCUGGUCUGAGAGGGCGAUCAGCCACACUGGGACUGAGACACGGCCCAGACUCCUACGGGAGGCAGCAGUGGGGAAUCUUGCGCAAUGGGCGGAAGCCUGACGCAGCAACGCCGCGUGCGGGAUGAAGGCCUCGGUGUAACGCUUCUAGCAGGACGAAG
rnacentral:rRNA from 1 species